rnacentral:rRNA from 1 species
GUCCACGCCCUAAACGAUGUCUACUAGUUGUUGGUGGAGUAAAAUCCAUGAGUAACGCAGCUAACGCGUGAAGUAGACCGCCUGGGGAGUACGGUCGCAAGAUUAAAACUCAAAGGAAUUGACGGGGGCCCGCACAAGCGGUGGAUUAUGUGGAUUAAUUCGAUGCAACGCGAAAACCUUACCUGGCCUUGACAUGCCACUAACGAAGCAGAGAUGCAUUAGGUGCUCGAAAGAGAAAGUGGACACAGGUGCUGCAUGGUUGUCGU